UACGUAGGGUGCAAGCGUUGUCCGGAAUUAUUGGGCGUAAAGAGCUCGUAGGCGGUCUGUCGCGUCGGCUGUGAAAACCCGGGGCUCAACCCCGGGCCUGCAGUCGAUACGGGCAGGCUAGAGUUCGGCAGGGGAGACUGGAAUCCCUGGUGUAGCGGUGAAAUGCGCAGAUAUCAGGAGGAACACCGGUGGCGAAGGCGGGUCUCUGGGCCGAUACUGACACUGAGGAGCGAAAGCGUGGGGAGCGAACAGG
rnacentral:rRNA from 1 species